AAAAGGAUCGCCUGUCGCUCUAGAGUGACAUCUGCUGGCUUGAAAAAAAAAAAAAAUAACCUUUCUCUUCUCCUGACUCACUGUCUUUUCAUUGACCUCUUUCUCCCAACCUACUUCCACCCCUGAUUCCUUUUAACCUCGUCAUUUUCUAAUCUUUUUUAAAAAUGUUCCUACAUCUCUUCUUCUUUCCUUUCUGCUUUCUUCUUACUCAUCCUUCCACCUUGCUUUUAUCAUCCUAUUCUCUGCUUUUUUCCCUUACAUUUUUCAUACUUCCUUGUUUUAUUGUCUUCCCAUGACCUCUUCAUUUGUAUCCCUUUAACAUCUUUUUUCCUGUUCCUAUUCAACAUCUCAAUCUUUUUUCCCUUCCUUCCUCAUUCUCAUUUAAUCUAUGUCCAUACUCUGUCCUCUCUAUUUUUCUCCACCUUUUCCUUUACUCUGUUCUUUCCUUUUACACUUCCUCUUCUCCUCCUCCAACUGCCAGUGUUUGUUUGGAGUCAGUCAUUAAGCAGAAGACACCCCAUGUAGAGGGAGAAAUAGAGGAAGUGCACUGAAAGCCUUGCAGCUCCCUGACAGAGCAUCCCAUCCAUUCAUCACCGCAUCUCUGCUUUUUUCUCUUCCUUGCUUUAUCUCCGCUUACAACCUCCACAAGACACGUGUAAUCACAACAUUACAACCAUUGUUGUGUUUGUGUGGCUAAUAUUCUGAAGCCUUGAUUCUUCCCCAUGUUUGGGAAAAAGGAAAAGUGUGCAGAGAAUGAAUACACCUCCUGCACUCAAACAACAACAUCCGUUACUAUACACGAUAAGUCUGAUAUCCUUAAAUAGAAGAUGCCCUUCCUUCUGGAUUACAAGAAACUGCUGAACCCUCGUGCUAUCAGUACAUCUUGUUUGCGAAUGUUACUGCAUCAUGAUGAUAGUGGAGACAAGGAAGAAGAGGAGGCCUCACCAGUCGCUGUUUAUCUGGGGUCUUGAAGUGGGGAGGGUGAGCAGCUUCAGGUACCUGGGUGACAUCACUGAAGACCUCACCUGCACACUGAACCCCACACAGCUGGUCAAGAAGGCUCAGCAGCGGCUGUAUUUCCUGAGGAGGCUGAGGAAAUUUUGUAUACAGCAUGUUCUACAGCUGCAUUGUGGUGAGCACACUGACCAGCUGCAUCACUGCAUGGUACGGCAGCACUACUGCUAUGGACCGCAAACGUGAUAACAAGUGAUAACAACCGCAGAAAAGAUCACCAGGACCCGCUGCCCUCUCUGCAGAGCAUCUACCAUAGCAGAGUCCAGAGGAGAGCUGCGUCCACACCCCCCCAACAUGGACUGUUCACACUUCUGUCCUCAGGACAAAGGUUUAGAAGUGUGAAGUCCAGAACAUCUCGAUUCACCAACUCCUUCUUCCCCACUGCUUUCAAACUCUUGAACAGCUGACCUAUUUUAACAGUAAUCAUAAUUUUUGCACAUCAGGUCAUCUUACAUAUCAAACCAGCAUAUUAAGCUCAUAGCUCUUUUACACACAAAUCUAUUUAAUACUUCAAUUUCUUGUCUCCAUUUAUUUGUACUCUUUGUAUUUUAUCUGUUCCAGUUCUAUUGUACAUAUUAACCGGCAUCUGUGUGUAGACAGCAGAGAAAGAAUUUUAUUGCACAGAGAAAUGCUUUUCUUUAUACCACUUUGAAUCUUGAAUCAUUGGUUUGAAGUGGUAAGAGCAAAUGUUGUAUAUGUUAAAAUGUUGUAUAGUUUGCCCUUUGUUUUCCAAGUCCAGGAAGUCCAAGAGUCCAAGCAGCACCUCACUACUGGUCUAAAUAAAACACGACUGCAGAAGGCUGGGUAAAGGGACUUAUGUUGUUAAAUGUAUACCAUAGGUACGUCAAAACCCGCUAAAAUUCUGUAGGUCAUAACCUGACGUGCACCUCUCCAGAAGCGUAACUAGUCCUAUAACGUAUUGUCAUUGGCAUGUUCAGUACCACUGAUUCUUCCUAUGUUGGUCCUGCUACUUUAUGUUUACUUUUACUUUAUGUUUAGUUUUCCAGUUUUCAUGACAGAAUAUUAAGUAUCAUUCCAAUGUCAGGAAUAAGAAUCAUAGCCUGAAUAUACAGUACAGAAUCACAUAUGCCAGCAAAUUCCUGAAUGGAGACUGCCAAAGCUUUCAGAAUGGAUAUGAGGGAAUAUACAAAGAAAUGGAAAAAAUGUUGGCUUCCAAAAGUCCCAACACUAUUUGAUUCUAUAAUGGCUUACUCUACAUAAAACACUUGAACCACAAGUGUUUUGUAUGCAGAGCCAGGGUUAGGGUUAGCCUAACCUUAACCCUAACCUUAAGGUAAUUAACACCAUACAAUUCCUGUUAUUGGUAGUCUUUUGCUCUUUGUGUCUCCAUACAUUAUUCCACAUGUAUUUCCAGCUGUCCCCUACCUCCAAAUUAGGCCUUUGUGUAUUUAUACCUUCAGAGCCCUUUAGUCUUUCUUGCAAUGUCUAGUUAUCUCCAUGUUUCUUUCCACCAAUGUGCACCAAACUCUUCGAACUCCCCUCUGUCCUGAGCAAGUCCACAUUUACGUGUUUUUUAUUCCUAUGUGUUCACUGAAUUUGGAGUCUGUUGUGUAUUCUGUUUCUCUGUGAAUAUUUGGGGUGUUGUUUUUUCCAUCAUUAAAAGUGAGCUUUAUGCUAAAACCGCCUCCCUGUAGGGUCUGGAAACCAAGUCACAGUUACUGUGGAAUUGGAAAGAAGCAUAAUAUAUUCCAAGGCAAAGCUUUCAUUUAGAUUGUCACAUUACAUCCAUCUUCUAUAUGUAUUUCUCACUUCAUAAAGCGAGAAGUACUCGAUGUUUCCUCCGCAAAUAUCAUCAUACUUGGUUUAUUCUAAGAAAAGCUUUGCUUUAGCCCUGAGCAAGUUCACAUUUACACAGUAACUUAGCAACUCAGUACUCUAACGUUUUUAAUCAAAGAGCAAUCAAUAAAUGAAUGUGUUGUGUCUGAUACUGUAUAAUGAAGUGACAGACAGGACGCUUGUAUGCUUUUGUUGGGGAAUUUCAAGUAGUCCUUGUGGUAGAAGCGAGCGUGAUGUUUUACAGCUGAGUCAGGUGAGAUGGUCAGAAUGAUCCAGCAAUGAUAUGUCAGAACAUUCAGUUGCACAUGGUGUGCAGGGAGCCCUAGAAAAAGCCAGAUGUACAUCAGCACAAAAUGAAUGGCCUCUACCAGAAAGUUGCGCAGCACAAAGCAGUUUGUCACGUGCAGUUAAAAUGGACAAUAUGUACUUCAAGCAUAAAAAGAGAGCACUGAUAAACAACUUUUCUCCUGUAUAGCAAAUAUUUGUGCACCUUGUCCAGAUGCUGUAAUUCUAAUACCAAAACUCAUAGACAUGCAAAAUAGUUUCUUCCAAACCAAAGAUGCCAAAAUAGAGGGUUAGGAUUGAUUAGGAGAUUUUUGGUGUGUGUGUGUGCACACGCUUGUGUUUUCAGGUAAGCAGAAUUUGGGACCAUGCUUGAUUUGAUUUGAUGCAGGGUAAUUUGCCCACAACAAACAAACAGUGGUAGAAUAUCUUAAGUGGUAGAAUCUUUUCUCUUAUUUUUUCAUGUCAUUUUAAAGCAUUUCACACUUCAAAAAAACAGAAUCCCUUUAGUUUGGUCCCCUCCCCAACUCCUUUACUUUGUGUAUGUGAAAAUACAGUAAAAGGAUAUC